rnacentral:rRNA from 1 species
ACGGAAGGCAGCAGCUAAGAAUAUUCCGCAAUGGACGAAAGUCUGACGGAGCGACGCCGCGUGGAUGAUGAAGGCCGGAAGGUUGUAAAAUCCUUUUAUGACUGAGGAAUAAGUAUGGUGAGAGAAACGCCAUAUGGUGACUGUAGGUCAUGAAUAAGCAACGGCUAAUUACGUGCCAGCAGCCGCGGUAACACGUAAGUUGCGAGCGUUGUUCGGAAUUAUUGGGCGUAAAGGGCAUGUAGGCGGUUUUGCAAGCUUGAUGUGAAAGGCAGGAGCUUAACUCCUGGACUGCGUUGAGAACUGCAUGACUAGAGUCACUGAGGGGCAAUCAGAAUUCCUGGUGUAGGGGUGAAAUCUGUAGAUAUCAGGAAGAAUACCAAUGGCGAAGGCAGGUUACCAGCAGAUGACUGACGCUGAGGUGCGAAGGUGCGGGGAGCAAACAGGAUUAGAUACCCUGGUA